rnacentral:rRNA from 1 species
UACGGGGGGGGCAAGCGUUGUUCGGAAUUACUGGGCGUAAAGGGCGUGUAGGCGGCCAACUAAGUCCGACGUGAAAUCCCCAGGCUUAACCUGGGAACUGCGUCGGAUACUGGAUGGCUUGAAUUCGGGAGAGGGAUGCAGAAUUCCAGGUGUAGCGGUGAAAUGCGUAGAUAUCUGGAGGAAUACCGGUGGCGAAGGCGGCAUCCUGGACCGAGAUUGACGCUGAAGCGCGAAAGCUAGGGGAGCAAACGGG